GUAUAUCAAGUAUCACAUUGAAGAAGAAUGAUAGUAGUCAACAAAAUAUUAUAGGCUGUAUCAAUUUAGAAUUUAAAGGAAUAUCUCAAUUAAUAUUCACACCAAGGGGUAAAAAAAAUAGUGAUAACAAACAAAAAAAUACACUAAGUCACAACAAAUCACUAUCUAAUAAAUAUAUAUAAAAAAUCUAGGGAGAAUUUAAAUGGAAAUGAAGUUCCACUCAUGUCAGCAAUUCCCACAUACUCCAGAAAACUAAAGGAUAUAGACAACCAAUUAUACUAGAUCAUUU